rnacentral:misc_RNA from 1 species
UGGACAUACUCUUCUUAGUUAUGGGCUACAUUGUGCGCUACUUGCUGGUACAUUAUCCCUAUGAUCCAUUUGUAUUUGGUGGAAUUUCAGAAGCAAUUACAUUCAGAUUGACAAAAAUUUCCUUUAGUAUUUCUCUGAUUUUUUUUUGUUAAUACAAAUAAAACAGUUAAAUCUUCAGUCAGGCAGAAAGAUGGUGUACCACUCUACCUUGUCUUUUUUCUUUUGUUUGUUGAUUUGCACCAUUGAGAAUAAAUAAUAUGGAUCCCAGGGAUAUACUCAGUUAAGCCCCAAACAAGUUGGAGAAAACUACGUUAAUCUUUUCCCUUCUUCCAACCAAUCAUAUGAUGUUGUUAUGGUUUGACACUGACUGUCAAAUUCCCAUAGUUUUCCUCAUUUAUCCAGAAUUAGAACUGUGUAUGAUGUUUAAGCAUGGCAAAGGCAGAGAUUUCUCUUGGAUAGAAACCUAAAAGUAUUCUAUGCUUAAAUGAAUGCAAUCUCUACAUUAAAAUUGGUCUGUAUUCUUUGAGUUGUUGAUAGUAUUAAUGCCAAUUUUCUGAUAGACCCAAUUUUUUGGUCUGCAUCCCCAUUCAUGCAGGUGUUCCUGCAGAAGUAAUUAAGAGAGCAGCAGUAGUAUUGGAUGCUAUUGGAAAUAACAACCAUGUUGAGCGAUUAUGCAAUGAAAACAUAUCAGCCCAAGAUAAGCAAUGCAAGGAUGCGGUGGACAAGAUGUUGGCAUUGGAUAUUCUUAAUAGUGACCUCAACCUCUUCUUCCAAGAUAUAUUUCCUCCUUGAUAUGCAGAGGUUGAAAGCGUUAUUUUCCUUGCUGAUAUGUAUGAGCAUAUGUUUAUCUUUAUAUGUUCUAAAUGCAUAAUCUCUCCGAAUACUAAUGGUGGAUUCAAUUUCAGCUUUAAUUCCUUCAGAAGUUUCAGACAUUCUGUUCACUACAUAUGUUGCAUUGUGAUAAAUGUAGAGCAUGAAACACCUAAAAGUUUGGUGCUUUCAUCAGUUUCAGGCUCGCCUACUCCAUUAGUGGCUGACACCAACUAGAACUGGAUGAUUACUGCAUUUUUCCAGCUCUUUCUGAAAAACUUCAACAACCUAAGCAAAUCAUUGAAGAUGUCCUGCUCUCAUGUCAGGAGACUACUACAAUAUGAUCCUACAAUAUAUAGUAGUCUUCAAGUUCCACGUGAUUUUGCUAUCACUCUUUGGUAUCCCAUUAUUUUCUCCAUUUUCAAUAUGUGUAUAAUCCAACCUCAAAUUUCACACUGACGAAAAGAGCGAGCCAUCAAAGUAUACUAGUAGUCUUUUGCUGUCUCUGUUUCUCUCUCUUUCGGAAUUUGAUAUCCUGCAAUGUUACAUUUCAGGCGCCUCUCAUGCUUCAGAGCCUGUAGUAGGCUGCACUUUUGAAGAUUCAAAUAAUUGACCAAUUACGUAAUAGCAUAUAUAAUAUAUUACUAAGAAAUGGGGUACUCAUUUUCUAUAAUUUACAAGUAGAUGUCCUUGGAAGCAUAAUUGUAAAGUCGAACUUGGAUAAAAGAAAUGAAAAUUGGCCCAUCAAAGUUAUCAGUUUUAACUUUGAUGCAAAUCAAUCCUGAAACUUGUAGCGUUGAAGUGGUAUUAGCAUGUAACAGCAUAGUCUACUUAGAUACUCGAGUACGAAACACACAUUAUUGUUAGGAAGUGAAACAAAAUAAAAUCUAUAUAAACACGUUAAAAAGCAGUUUCUCAAUGAACAGUGACAAUGAAAUUGAUUUUGAUGUUUCAAAUUACUGAAUUAUCUAUUGUUGUUUAUUUUCAUGGCUUUGCAAUAGCUGGAUAAUUUUGUAUCUUGUAUGCUGUGUGGUGUCCAGUGCUAAGCAAAUUUUCUCUUCCCGUUACCCUUGACCUUAUUACUCUCUUACACAACUGUUAAAACAAAGCUGUUCCCUUGCCUUAGGAGGGUGUUUGGCCUAACAUUUGAA